rnacentral:rRNA from 1 species
UACGUGAGGGUGCAAGCGUUGUCCGGAAUUUAUUGGGCGUAAAGAGCUCGUAGGCGGUUUGUCGCGUCUGCCGUGAAAGUCCGGGGCUCAACUCCGGAUCUGCGGUGGGUACGGGCAGACUAGAGUGAUGUAGGGGAGACUGGAAUUCCUGGUGUAGCGGUGAAAUGCGCAGAUAUCAGGAGGAACACCGAUGGCGAAGGCAGGGUCUCUGGGCAUUAAACUGACGCUGAGGAGCGAAAGCAUGGGGAGCGA